rnacentral:rRNA from 1 species
GAUGAACGCUGGCGGCGUGCCUAAUACAUGCAAGUCGAGCGAACAGACGAGGAGCUUGCUCCUCUGACGUUAGCGGCGGACGGGUGAGUAACACGUGGAUAACCUACCUAUAAGACUGGGAUAACUUCGGGAAACCGGAGCUAAUACCGGAUAAUAUAUUGAACCGCAUGGUUCAAUAGUGAAAGACGGUUUUGCUGUCACUUAUAGAUGGAUCCGCGCCGCAUUAGCUAGUUGGUAAGGUAACGGCUUACCAAGGCAACGAUGCGUAGCCGACCUGAGAGGGUGAUCGGCCACACUGGAACUGAGACACGGUCCAGACUCCUACGGGAGGCAGCAGUAGGGAAUCUUCCGCAAUGGGCGAAAGCUUGACGGAGCAACGCCGCGUGAGUGAUGAAGGUCUUCGGAUCGUAAAACUCUGUUAUUAGGGAAUAACAAAUGUGUAAGUAACUAUGCACGUCUUGACGGUACCUAAUCAGAAAGCCACGGCUAACUACGUG